AUUGAACGCUGGCGGCAUGCCUUACACAUGCAAGUCGAACGGUAACAGGUCUUCGGAUGCUGACGAGUGGCGAACGGGGGAGUAAUACAUCGGAACGUGCCCGACCGUGGGGGAGAACGGAGCGAAAGCUUUGCUAAUACCGCAUACGAUCCACGGAUGAAAGCAGGGGACCGCAAGGCCUUGCGCGGACGGAGCGGCCGAUGGCAGAUCAGGUAGUUGGUGGGAUAAAGGCUUACCAAGCCGACGAUCUGUAGCUGGUCUGAGAGGACGACCAGCCAACCUGGGACUGAGACACUGCCCAGACUCCUACGGGAGGCAGCAGUGGGGAAUUUUGGACAAUGGGCGCAAGCCUGAUCCAGCCAUGCCGCGUGCAGGGUGAAGGCCUUCGGGUUGUAAACUGCUUUUGAGCGGAACGAAAAGACUCUGGUUAAUUCCUGGGGUCCAUGACAGUACCGUAGGAAUAAGCACCGGCUAACUACGUGCCAGCCGCCGCGGUAACAC
rnacentral:rRNA from 1 species